rnacentral:piRNA from 1 species
UUGUUUGAAGCUGUUGGCCCUUGG